rnacentral:rRNA from 1 species
UACGUAGGGUGCGAGCGUUAAUCGGAAUUACUGGGCGUAAAGCGUGCGCAGGCGGUUUUGUAAGCCAGAUGUGAAAGCCCGCGGCUCAACCGCGGAUUGUCGUUGGAAACUGCCUCGCUAGAGUCCGGAAGAGGAGAGCGGAAUUCCUGGUGUAGCGGUGGAAUGCGCAGAUAUCAGGAAGAACACCCGUGGCGAAGGCGGCUCUCUGGGACGGUACUGACGCUGAGACGCGAAAGCGUGGGGAGCGAACAGG